rnacentral:sRNA from 1 species
UCUUAGGCAACUCACUUAACCUUCCUGGGGCAAUUUACUCCCUCUGAGAUGAGAAAGUUGAAUUAAAUAAUCCGAAAGCAUCCUGUCAAGCUCUGAAAAAUGCUAUGAUUCUAGGUACACAGACUUCUCAGGAAGAAUUCAUAGCUACAAGCAUGUCUUUUUAUAAAGACCACAGGUGGUUCUCAGGAAGUUUGCAUAUUACAAAUCUAUUUCGGGUUUCUGAAAUAUGUGUCUCUAGCUUUUCCUGACUACUUCUUUUCAUCUGCCUGGUCCCAUGGACCGAGAGUUUAGGGAUUCCGAAGGGAGAGAGGGGAAAGAUCUGCUUGAAACCAGAGGACUUGCAGGACCCUCUUCUGGGCCGUGGGCUUCAUCCUCCCACACCGAGCAGAGCAGACCUCUGUGCCUGCCCCGCAGCUGUAGGUCUUGAGUUACUUCUCCUUCCCCUUCCUCCAUCUGUACCUCCUUAAGAGCAGGGCCCUCCCUGUCAGACAGACCUCAGCCAGCGGCCCUCCGCAGGUCCUGGCCUGCUUCCCCACACCGUUCCCUGUGGUGACCUGCCUCCCUGCUUGUUUUCCAGGCUCCCCUUCCCUGCGGGCAUAUCCGCUCCUCUCGGUGAUCACCCGCCAGCCCACUGUCAUCUCCCACCUGGUCCCCGCCACCCCGGGAAUCGCCCAGGCACUGUCCUGCCACCAGGUCACCGAGGCGGUCUCUGCUGAGGCCCCAGGGGGCGAGGCCCUAGCCAGCAGCGAGUCAGAGACGGAACAGCCCACGCCCCGACAGAAGAAGCCCCGCCGGAGUCGCACCAUCUUCACCGAGCUGCAGCUCAUGGGCCUGGAGAAGAAAUUCCAGAAGCAGAAGUAUUUGUCAACCCCAGACAGGUGAGGACGCGGGGAAGGGACUCUCCGCAGUGAAGGCCCCUGGGAACGGGAGACUUGCUCCCAUUGUGGGCCGUGGAGCCACAGCACUGGUACAGUGAGGCAGGACACUAUGGCAGAGUCCACUCCUUGGCUCAAAUCAUCUCAGCCUUGGUUAAGGGAACCCAGCCCACAUGAAUCCACCACACGGUCCCUGGAGCCUGCCUGCGGCUAAACUUAACUCACCACUCUAUCUCCAUAUUUGAACUUAACUAUUUCAGUAUCAUAAACAAGGUCCAGUUUAGCAAAUGGUUGCUCAGGCGGUCAGCUGGGAAACAGGCUUGGUUUUUAAGCCACUCACUCUUAGGAUUGGAGGCAGCAGGACUAGAUUCGGAAUUGGGAUUCAUGAUCUUCUCAAUCUUCUCCACAGCCUCCAGCUGAUUCCCCACUGACUCAGUUUGCUGGCCUGGCUAUUGCUUGGGAAGGACUGGAGUGAUCCAGUUGAGGAGGUCAGACAUGUUGGUGAAUUUGCUGGAUGUCAAGUCAGAACCAUUUGACUGAGACCCAGGAGGACCUGGCUGAGAGCCCCUUCUUUGAACCCCUCUGAGAUCCAUGUUGGGGAGGCUGUGACCCUUGCUUUCUUGGAGGCCUCAAUGCCUCACCUCCUUUUCUUUAAUUUACUAUUUUAACUGAAACAUAUGCCAGAGUGUGUGUCUGGGCCGGGUAUUGUGGCCCACACCUGUAAUCUCAGCAGUUUGGGAGGCUGAGGCAGUAGGAUCGUUUGAGGCUAGGAGUUUGAGACCAGCGUGGGCAACGUUGUGAGACCCCGUCUCUACAAAAAUUAAAAUAUGAGCCAGGUGUGAUGGCAUGCACCUGUAGUCCCAGCCACUCAAGAGGCUAAGAUGGGAGGAUCACUUGAACCCAGGACUUUGAGACUGCAGUGAGGUAUGAUUGCAUCAGAUUGCAUCGCUGCACUCUAGGCGAGACCCUGUCUCCUUAAAAAAAAAAAAAAAAAAUAGCCGGGUGUGUUGGCUCACGCCUGUAAUCCCAGCACUUUGGGAGGCCGAGGCAGGCGGAUCACGAGGUCAGGAGUUCAGGACCAGCCUGGCCAAGAUAGUGAAACCCCGUCUCUACUAAAAAUACAAAAAUUAGCUGGGUGUAGUGGCAGGUACUUGUAAUCCCAGCUACUUGGGAGGCUGAGACAGAGAAUUGCUUGAACCCAGGAGGUGGAGGUUGCAGUGAGCCAAAAUCAUGCCACUACACUCCAGCCUGGGCAACAGAGCGAGACUCAGUCUC